UACGGGGGGGGCAAGCGUUGUUCGGAAUUACUGGGCGUAAAGGGCGCGUAGGCGGCCUUCUAAGUCGAACGUGAAAUCCCCGGGCUCAACCCGGGAACUGCGUCCGAUACUGGAAGGCUUGAAUCCGGGAGAGGGAUGCGGAAUUCCAGGUGUAGCGGUGAAAUGCGUAGAUAUCUGGAGGAACACCGGUGGCGAAGGCGGCAUCCUGGACCGGUAUUGACGCUGAGGCGCGAAAGCCAGGGGAGCGAACGGG
rnacentral:rRNA from 1 species